CCCACAGCUGGUUGAGGGAGGGAGGGGAGGAAAGCGGCUGUGGGGAGGAUGGGAGGAUAGUUGGUUACUGUUCAAAAAAAUGUAAAGCGGAAAAGACAGCUCGGAGAAGACGAGGAAGAGGAAAGUGUGAGAGAUGAGUAAGCUAACGGUCAGUCUCCUCCUCCACUAGGAUGAAGCCUCGGGAUGCGACCUCCUCUUCAUUCAACUCCCCGUAUAUAUCAUGCGCCCAGAGUUGGAAGAAAUUGUACAACUCAUCUGACCUGGAUAAAAGAGAAAAGAAUAAAAUCACUUCAUAAAUUUCUAA